UUUUCCUUUUCUUUAUAGGAUAGUAUACUAGAUAAAUUUCUUAUUCCAGUGAAUAAACCCGUCCAAAGCAAGGAAACAAAAUGUGAUCAAGAUUUUGAUUUAUUGCAAUUGGUUGAUGAGGGAGAACCCCAAGUUGAACAAUGGGUUACUUCAAGUUGCUAUGAUUCUUUGAAUGGAGAUUUAUUCGGAGCUCUAUCUGAUACAAAGGUAUUUUUUUAAGAAUUAAAAA
rnacentral:lncRNA from 1 species